rnacentral:snoRNA from 1 species
GUGACUCUUUAAGAACAGUAAAGUUGUACAGUGCAACCAUAGGCAGUCACAUACAUCAAAACAUAUGGUUCCUGCCGACAGGGUCUGUAUAGUUAUCAGAUUUUCUGUGCGAUGGCUCCAUACAUG